rnacentral:rRNA from 1 species
AGCGUACACGGUGGAUGCCCUGGCAGUCAGAGGCGAUGAAGGACGUGCUAAUCUGCGAUAAGCGUCGGUGAGGUGAUAUGAACCGUUAUAACCGGCGAUUUCCGAAUGGGGAAACCCAGUGUGUUUCGACACACUAUCAUUAACUGAAUCCAUAGGUUAAUGAGGCGAACCGGGGGAACUGAAACAUCUAAGUACCCCGAGGAAAAGAAAUCAACCGAGAUUCCCCCAGUAGCGGCGAGCGAACGGGGAGGAGCCCAGAGCCUGAAUCAGUGUGUGUGUUAGUGGAAGCGUCUGGAAAGGCGCGCGAUACAGGGUGACAGCCCCGUACACAAAAAUGCACAUGCUGUGAGCUCGAUGAGUAGGGCGGGACACGUGGUAUCCUGUCUGAAUAUGGGGGGACCAUCCUCCAAGGCUAAAUACUCCUGACUGACCGAUAGUGAACCAGUACCGUGAGGGAAAGGCGAAAAGAACCCCGGCGAGGGGAGUGAAAAAGAACCUGAAACCGUGUACGUACAAGCAGUGGGAGCCUCUUUUAUGGGGUGACUGCGUACCUUUUGUAUAAUGGGUCAGCGACUUAUAUUCUGUAGCAAGGUUAACCGAAUAGGGGAGCCGAAGGGAAACCGAGUCUUAACUGGGCGUUAAGUUGCAGGGUAUAGACCCGAAACCCGGUGAUCUAGCCAUGGGCAGGUUGAAGGUUGGGUAACACUAACUGGAGGACCGAACCGACUAAUGUUGAAAAAUUAGCGGAUGACUUGUGGCUGGGGGUGAAAGGCCAAUCAAACCGGGAGAUAGCUGGUUCUCCCCGAAAGCUAUUUAGGUAGCGCCUCGUGAAUUCAUCUCCGGGGGUAGAGCACUGUUUCGGCAAGGGGGUCAUCCCGACUUACCAACCCGAUGCAAACUGCGAAUACCGGAGAAUGUUAUCACGGGAGACACACGGCGGGUGCUAACGUCCGUCGUGAAGAGGGAAACAACCCAGACCGCCAGCUAAGGUCCCAAAGUCAUGGUUAAGUGGGAAACGAUGUGGGAAGGCCCAGACAGCCAGGAUGUUGGCUUAGAAGCAGCCAUCAUUUAAAGAAAGCGUAAUAGCUCACUGGUCGAGUCGGCCUGCGCGGAAGAUGUAACGGGGCUAAACCAUGCACCGAAGCUGCGGCAGCGACGCUUAUGCGUUGUUGGGUAGGGGAGCGUUCUGUAAGCCUGUGAAGGUGUACUGUGAGGUAUGCUGGAGGUAUCAGAAGUGCGAAUGCUGACAUAAGUAACGAUAAAGCGGGUGAAAAGCCCGCUCGCCGGAAGACCAAGGGUUCCUGUCCAACGUUAAUCGGGGCAGGGUGAGUCGACCCCUAAGGCGAGGCCGAAAGGCGUAGUCGAUGGGAAACAGGUUAAUAUUCCUGUACUUGGUGUUACUGCGAAGGGGGGACGGAGAAGGCUAUGUUGGCCGGGCGACGGUUGUCCCGGUUUAAGCGUGUAGGCUGGUUUUCCAGGCAAAUCCGGAAAAUCAAGGCUGAGGCGUGAUGACGAGGCACUACGGUGCUGAAGCAACAAAUGCCCUGCUUCCAGGAAAAGCCUCUAAGCAUCAGGUAACAUCAAAUCGUACCCCAAACCGACACAGGUGGUCAGGUAGAGAAUACCAAGGCGCUUGAGAGAACUCGGGUGAAGGAACUAGGCAAAAUGGUGCCGUAACUUCGGGAGAAGGCACGCUGAUAUGUAGGUGAAGCGACUUGCUCGUGGAGCUGAAAUCAGUCGAAGAUACCAGCUGGCUGCAACUGUUUAUUAAAAACACAGCACUGUGCAAACACGAAAGUGGACGUAUACGGUGUGACGCCUGCCCGGUGCCGGAAGGUUAAUUGAUGGGGUUAGCGGUAACGCGAAGCUCUUGAUCGAAGCCCCGGUAAACGGCGGCCGUAACUAUAACGGUCCUAAGGUAGCGAAAUUCCUUGUCGGGUAAGUUCCGACCUGCACGAAUGGCGUAAUGAUGGCCAGGCUGUCUCCACCCGAGACUCAGUGAAAUUGAACUCGCUGUGAAGAUGCAGUGUACCCGCGGCAAGACGGAAAGACCCCGUGAACCUUUACUAUAGCUUGACACUGAACAUUGAGCCUUGAUGUGUAGGAUAGGUGGGAGGCUUUGAAGUGUGGACGCCAGUCUGCAUGGAGCCGACCUUGAAAUACCACCCUUUAAUGUUUGAUGUUCUAACGUUGGCCCCUGAUCGGGGUUGCGGACAGUGUCUGGUGGGUAGUUUGACUGGGGCGGUCUCCUCCUAAAGAGUAACGGAGGAGCACGAAGGUUGGCUAAUCCUGGUCGGACAUCAGGAGGUUAGUGCAAUGGCAUAAGCCAGCUUGACUGCGAGCGUGACGGCGCGAGCAGGUGCGAAAGCAGGUCAUAGUGAUCCGGUGGUUCUGAAUGGAAGGGCCAUCGCUCAACGGAUAAAAGGUACUCCGGGGAUAACAGGCUGAUACCGCCCAAGAGUUCAUAUCGACGGCGGUGUUUGGCACCUCGAUGUCGGCUCAUCACAUCCUGGGGCUGAAGUAGGUCCCAAGGGUAUGGCUGUUCGCCAUUUAAAGUGGUACGCGAGCUGGGUUUAGAACGUCGUGAGACAGUUCGGUCCCUAUCUGCCGUGGGCGCUGGAGAACUGAGGGGGGCUGCUCCUAGUACGAGAGGACCGGAGUGGACGCAUCACUGGUGUUCGGGUUGUCAUGCCAAUGGCACUGCCCGGUAGCUAAAUGCGGAAGAGAUAAGUGCUGAAAGCAUCUAAGCACGAAACUUGCCCCGAGAUGAGUUCU